rnacentral:rRNA from 1 species
AGUUUGAUCAUGGCUCAGGAUGAACGCUAGCGGCAGGCUUAAUACAUGCAAGUCGUGGGGCAGCAGGUUUGUAGCAAUACAGAUGCUGGCGACCGGCAAACGGGUGCGGAACACGUACAGAACCUUCCUUUGAGCGGGGAAUAGCCCAGAGAAAUUUGGAUUAAUACCCCAUAGUAUAAUGAAGUGGCAUCACUUUAUUAUUAAAGAUUUAUCACUCGAAGAUGGCUGUGCGGCGGAUUAGGUAGUUGGCGGGGUAAAGGCCCACCAAGCCUGCGAUCAGUAACUGGUGUGAGAGCACGACCAGUCACACGGGCACUGAGACACGGGCCCGACUCCUACGGGAGGCAGCAGUAAGGAAUAUUGGUCAAUGGAGGCAACUCUGAACCAGCCAUGCCGCGUGGAGGAUGAAGGUCCUCUGGAUUGUAAACUUCUUUUAUAUGGGACGAAAAAGGCUUUUCUAAGUCGUCUGACGGUACCAUAUGAAUAAGCACCGGCUAACUCCGUG